ACGAACAUUUAUUAUUAUUUAUUUGAGAAUUUAUUUUAUAGGAUUGCUCGAGUGUUUCACCUGUGGUUGAUCGCAGACAAUCGGCACAUCCACAUUUAAUGUCGUGUGGCAUGGGCAAAGUGGCACCGCGAUCCAGCAACAACUUCAAAAUCUCGUAGUUGUUCCGCUGUGCGGCCAAAAUCAGAGGCGUGAUUUCUGGCGGAUAUCUCGCGGAUGCUGGAUCGAUCUUCUGCCAACUGUGGAUCACAUCUUUCGUCGCUACAAAUGCAGAUUGCAUGGAUAUUUUAUAAGAAACGUCAGGUCUUGGAAGAUGGACCACGUAGCUUUCCGUCUCGUUCGGAGGAGCUUCUACCUCUCUCUCUGUCUUCUCGAAGCCCAUUUUCGACUACGGCCUUAAGGACAAUUUUCGAAGUUCUAUAACACGAAGAAGAUCUUUUAUAACACGAGUCUUUAAAGGACAAAUAUUUUUUACAUCUGCUAUUGUUGUAUUUUAAUUAACAGGGGAAUUAGAUCUUAGGGAAAAGAAGAGAUUUAUAAAUAUUUAACCUUUACCCCCAAUCGCAACACGCGAAUAAUGCGAGCUAUCUAAGAACCGAAUUUCCACCGAUUUUCCAGUACACACCAAUCU
rnacentral:misc_RNA from 1 species